rnacentral:rRNA from 2 species
UGGGGAAUAUUGGACAAUGGGCGCAAGCCUGAUCCAGCAAUGCCGCGUGUGUGAAGAAGGCCCUCGUUGGUUGUAAAGCACUUUCAGUGGGGAAGAAAAGCCGGGUGCCAAUACCAUCCGGCCCUGACGUUACCCACAGAAGAAGCACCGGCUAACUCUGUGCCAGCAGCCGCGGUAAUACAGAGGGUGCGAGCGUUAAUCGGAAUUACUGGGCGUAAAGGGCGCGUAGGCGGUCUGGUAAGUUGGGUGUGAAAGCCUCGGGCUUAACCUGGGAAUUGCAUUCAAUACUGCCGGACUGGAGUAUGGUAGAGGGAAGUGGAAUUCCGGGUGUAGCGGUGAAAUGCGUAGAUAUCCGGAGGAACACCAGUGGCGAAGGCGGCUUCCUGGACCAAUACUGACGCUGAGGCGCGAAAGCGUGGGGAGCAAACAGG